AUACGUAGGGUGCAAGCGUUAUCCGGAAUUAUUGGGCGUAAAGAGCUCGUAGGCGGUUUGUCGCGUCUGGUGUGAAAGUCCAUCGCUUAACGGUGGAUCUGCGCCGGGUACGGGCAGGCUGGAGUGCAGUAGGGGAGACUGGAAUUCCCGGUGUAACGGUGGAAUGUGUAGAUAUCGGGAAGAACACCAAUGGCGAAGGCAGGUCUCUGGGCUGUUACUGACGCUGAGGAGCGAAAGCGUGGGGAGCGAACAGGAUUAGAUACCCUGGUAGUCCACGCCGUAAACGGUGGACGCUGGAUGUGGGGCCCAUUCCACGGGUUCCGUGUCGGAGCUAACGCGUUAAGCGUCCCGCCUGGGGAGUACGGCCGCAAGGCUAAA
rnacentral:rRNA from 1 species